AUACGGAGGGUGCAAACGUUGCUCGGAAUCAUUGGGCGUAAAGCGCGCGUAGGCGGCCUGAUAAGUUGGAUGUGAAAGCCCUCGGCUUAACCGGGGAAGUGCAUACAAAACUGUCAGGCUUGAGUAUGGGAGAGGAUUGCGGAAUUCCCGGUGUAGAGGUGAAAUUCGUAGAUAUCGGGAGGAACACCAGCGGCGAAGGCGGCAAUCUGGACCAAUACUGACGCUGAGGUGCGAAAGCGUGGGGAGCAAACAGGAUUAGAAACCCUAGUAGUCC
rnacentral:rRNA from 1 species